rnacentral:rRNA from 1 species
ACGGCUCAGUAACACGUAUAGGAAUUGGCGGGGGAGCACAUACUGCUCAGUAACACGUAUAGGAAUUGGCGGGGGAGCACAUACGGCUCAGUAACACGUAGUCAACCUGCCCUGGAGACAUGGAUAACCCCGGGAAACUGGGAUUAAUACAUGAUAGGUCACCUCAUCUGGAAGGAGAGAUGGCUUAAAGGGGUGUGUGAGCUUCUUUCGUACACUUGCUCCAGGAUGGGACUGCGACUGAUCGGGCUGUUGGCGGGGUAAUGGCCCACCAAACCAGUAACCAGUACGGGCCUUGAGAGAGGGGGCCCGGAGAUGGACACUGAGAGAAGGGUCCAGGUCCUACGGGGCGCAGCAGGCGCGAAACCUUCGCAAUGCGCGAAAGCGUGACGAGGUUAAUCCGAGUGGUUCCCGCUGAGGGAAUCUUUUGUCGGCUGUAAAAAGGCCGGCGAAUAAGGGGAGGGCAAGUCUGGUGUCAGCCGCCGCGGUAAUACCAGCUCCUCGAGUGGUCGGGGCGAUUAUUGGGCCUAAAGCAUCCGUAGCCGGUUCCGUAGGUCCUCUGUUAAAUCCAACGGCUUAACCGUUGGCCCGCAGAGGAUACCGCGGGACUAGGAGGCGGGAGAGGCAGGCGGUACUCUACGUGUAGGGGUAAAAUCCUUUGAUCCGUAGAAGACCACCAGUGGCGAAGGCGGCCUGCCAGAACGCGCUCGACGGUGAGGGAUGAAAGCUGGGGGAGCAAACCGGAUUAGAUACCCGGGUAGUCCCAGCUGUAAACGAUGCAGACUCGGUGAUGAGUUGGCUUCUUGCCAACUCAGUGCCGCAGGGAAGCCGUUAAGUUUGCCGCCUGGGGAGUACGGUCGCAAGACUGAAACUUAAAGGAAUUGGCGGGGGAGCAC